AUUGAACGCUGGCGGCAUGCCUUACACAUGCAAGUCGAACGGUAACAGGUCUUCGGAUGCUGACGAGUGGCGAACGGGUGAGUAAUACAUCGGAACGUGCCCGAGAGUGGGGGAUAACGAGGCGAAAGCUCUGCUAAUACCGCAUACGAUCUCAGGAUGAAAGCAGGGGACCGCAAGGCCUUGCGCUCACGGAGCGGCCGAUGGCAGAUUAGGUAGUUGGUGGGAUAAAAGCUUACCAAGCCGACGAUCUGUAGCUGGUCUGAGAGGACGACCAGCCACACUGGGACUGAGACACGGCCCAGACUCCUACGGGAGGCAGCAGUGGGGAAUUUUGGACAAUGGGCGCAAGCCUGAUCCAGCCAUGCCGCGUGCAGGAUGAAGGCCUUCGGGUUGUAAACUGCUUUUGUACGGAACGAAAAGGCUCUGGUUAAUACCUGGGGUCCAUGACGGUACCGUAAGAAUAAGCACCGGCUAACUACGUGCCAGCCGCCGCUGUAAGAC
rnacentral:rRNA from 1 species